rnacentral:rRNA from 1 species
AGUGAACGCUGGCGGUAGGCCUAACACAUGCAAGUCGAACGGCAGCACAGUAAGAGCUUGCUCUUACGGGUGGCGAGUGGCGGACGGGUGAGGAAUACAUCGGACUCUACUUUUUCGUGGGGGAUAACGUAGGGAAACUUAAGCUAAUACCGCAUACGACCUACGGGUGCAUGCAGGGGAUCUUCGGACUUUGCGCGAUUGAAUGAGCCGAUGUCGGAUUAGCUAGUUGGCGGGGUAAAGGCCCACCAAGGCGACGAUCCGUAGCUGGUCUGAGAGGAUGAUCAGCCACACUGGAACUGAGACACGGUCCAGACUCCUACGGGAGGCAGCAGUAGGGAAUAUUGGACAAUGGGCGCAAGCCUGAUCCAGCCAUACCGCGUGGGUGAAGAAGGCCUUCGGGUUGUAAAGCCCUGUUGUUGGGAAAGAAAAGCAGCAGGUUAAUACCCCGCUGUUCUGACGGUACCCAAAGAAUAAGCACCGGCUAACUUCGUG